rnacentral:rRNA from 1 species
AACGAACGCUGGCGGCAGGCUUAACACAUGCAAGUCGAACGCUCGUAGCAAUACGGGAGUGGCGGACGGGUGAGUAACGCGUGGGAACGUGCCCUGAGGUACGGAAUAACUGAGGGAAACUUCAGCUAAUACCGUAUGAGCCCCGAGAGGGGGAAAGAUUUAUCGCCUUGGGAGCGGCCCGCGUCGGAUUAGCUAGUUGGUGGGGUAACGGCCUACCAAGGCUUCGAUCCGUAGCUGGUCUGAGAGGACGAUCAGCCACACUGGGACUGAGACACGGCCCAGACUCCUACGGGAGGCAGCAGUGGGGAAUCUUGCGCAAUGGGGGCAACCCUGACGCAGCCAUGCCGCGUGAACGAUGAAGGCCUUAGGGUUGUAAAGUUCUUUUACCCGUGACGAUGAUGACGGUAACGGGGAAUAAGCUCCGGCUAACUUCGUG